rnacentral:lncRNA from 1 species
CUCUGAACAUAUUUUAUUUUUUCUUCUAAACUCUUGAUAUUUAUCUUUCUGUUUUCUAAAGUAGAAGUCAUAUUUAACCUGUGAUCCAUUAACUUUUACUAUUGCUGUUUAUUAUGCUAUUGCUAGGGGCCACCAGUCCAGGUGUAUAAAAAGUUACUCAAGAGGGCCACCAGAAAUCAUGCAAAGCACAAAAAAUUAUUUGAAUCAUAAGUGGCCGGGCC